CCUACGGGAGGCAGCAGUAGGGAAUCUUCCGCAAUGGGCGAAAGCCUGACGGAGCAACGCCGCGUGAGUGAUGAAGGUCUUCGGAUCGUAAAACUCUGUUAUCAGGGAAGAACAAAUGUGUAAGUAACUGUGCACAUCUUGACGGUACCUGAUCAGAAAGCCACGGCUAACUACGUGCCAGCAGCCGCGGUAAUACGUAGGUGGCAAGCGUUAUCCGGAAUUAUUGGGCAUAAAGCGCGCGUAGGCGGUUUUUUAAGUCUGAUGUGAAAGCCCACGGCUCAACCGUGGAGGGUCAUUGGAAACUGGAAAACUUGAGUGCAGAAGAGGAAAGUGGAAUUCCAUGUGUAGCGGUGAAAUGCGCAGAGAUAUGGAGGAACACCAGUGGCGAAGGCGACUUUCUGGUCUGUAACUGACGCUGAUGUGCGAAAGCGUGGGGAUCAAACAGGAUUAGAUACCCCAGUAGUC
rnacentral:rRNA from 1 species